rnacentral:rRNA from 1 species
GAGUUUGAUCCUGGCUCAGGAUGAACGCUGGCGGCAGGUCUGACACAUGCAAGUCGAACGGUAAGGGAGCAAUCCCCUAGAGUGGCGAACGGCUGAGUAACACGUAGGAACCUACCCCUAGGCUCGGGAUAACAGACCGAAAGGACUGCUAAUACCGGAUACAUCGGUAACGAGGAAAGAUUUAUCACCAAGGGAGGGGCCUGCGGCGUAUUAGCUUGUUGGUGGGGUAACGGCCUACCAAGGCAAUGAUGCGUAGCUGGUCUGAGAGGACGAUCAGCCAGACUGGGACUGAGACACGGCCCAGACUCCUACGGGAGGCAGCAGUUCAGAAUCUUGCACAAUGGACGAAAGUCUGAUGCAGCCAUGCCGCGUGUGCGAAGAAGGCCUUCGGGUCGUAAGCACUGUCAGAGGGAAGAUCAUGACGGUACCCUCAAAGGAAGCCACGGCUAAUUACGUGCCAGCCGCCGCGGUAAU